UACGUAGGGAGCAAGCGUUGUCCGGAUUUACUGGGUGUAAAGGGUGCGUAGGCGGCUUUACAAGUCAGAAGUGAAAUCCAUGGGCUUAACCCAUGAACUGCUUUUGAAACUGCAGAGCUUAAGUGGAGUAGAGGUAGGCGGAAUUCCCGGUGUAGCGGUGAAAUGCGUAGAGAUCGGGAGGAACACCAGUGGCGAAGGCGGCCUGCUGGGCUCUAACUGACGCUGAGGCACGAAAGCGUGGGUAGCAAACAGG
rnacentral:rRNA from 1 species